rnacentral:piRNA from 1 species
UGAUAUGCCAGGUGAGGAAUAGACUGAG